UUCUGAGAAACAUGUUUGUGC
rnacentral:piRNA from 1 species